UCUGGUUGAUCCUGCCAGUAGCAUAUGCUUGUCUCAAAGAUUAAGCCAUGCAUGUCUAAGUACAAGCCAUAUUAUGGUGAAACCGCGAAUGGCUCAUUAAAUCACACCUAAUCUACUGGAAUGUUAGCAGUUACUUGGAUAACUGAGGUAAUUCUUGAGCUAAUACAUGCGAAAAAUCCCGACUCACGAAGGGAUGCUUUUAUUAGAUCAAAACCAAACAGCUUCGGCUGUAACACUGGUGACUCUGAAUAACUUUGGGCUGAUCGCAUUGCCUUGAGCAGGCGACAUUUCCUUCGAAGGUGUGCCCUAUCAACUGUCGACUGUGAUAUAGACGCUCACAGUGGUUUUGACGGGUAACGGGGAAUCAGGGUUCGAUUCCGGAGAGGGAGCCUUAAAAACGGCUACCACAUCCAAGGAAGGCAGCAGGCACGCAAAUUACCCAAUGAACGAAGUUCGAGGUAGUGACGAAAAAUAACAAUACAAGACUCAUCCGAGGCCUUGUAAUUGGAAUGAGUACACUUUAAAACCGUUUCACGAGGAUCUAUUGGAGGGCAAGUCUGGUGCCAGCAGCCGCGGUAAUUCCAGCUCCAAUAGCGUAUAUUAAAGUUGUUGUGGUUAAAAAGCUCGUAGUUGGAUUUCGGCGGGUAUUGGUUGGUUUGAAUUGCUUCAACACUGACUUUUUUACCCGUGUGUUUUGCCAGAAUUUAGCGGGUGAUCUUCGCCGAUUGUCCGUUGGAACUGGUAGGUUUACUUUGAAAAAAUUAGAGUGCUCAAAGCAAGCUUACUGCUUGAAUAGUUGCGCAUGGAAUAAUAGAAUAGGAAGUCGUUUCUAUUUUGUUGGUUUUCGGAAAUCGACUUAAUGAUUAAUAGGGAUAGUCGGGGGCAUUCGUAUUCAAACGACAGAGGUGAAAUUCUUGGACCGUUUGAAGACGAACUAAGGCGAAAGCAUUUGCCAAGAAUGUUUUCAUUAAUCAAGAACGAAAGUUAGAGGUUCGAAGGCGAUUAGAUACCGCCCUAGUUCUAACCAUAAACGAUGCCAGCUAGCGAUCUGCCGGCGUUUAAUUUUCUGACUUGGCAGGGAGCUUCCGGGAAACCAAAGCUUGUGGGUUCCAGGGGAAGUAUGGUUGCAAAGCUGAAACUUAAAGUAAUUGACGGAAGGGCACCACCAGGAGUGGAGCCUGUGGCUUAAUUUGACUCAACACGGGAAAUCUCACCAGGCCCGGACACUAGUAGGAUUGACAGAUUGAUAGCUCUUUCUUGAUUUGGUGGGUGGUGGUGCAUGGCCGUUCUUAGUUGGUGGAGUGAUUUGUCUGGUUAAU
rnacentral:rRNA from 1 species